rnacentral:rRNA from 1 species
GACGAACGCUGGCGGCGUGCUUAACACAUGCAAGUCGAACGAAGUGGCGAACGGGUGAGUAAUACGUGGGUAACCUGCCCUCCUUUUUGGGAUAAGCCUUGGAAACGGGGUCUAAUACCGACUAAAGGGGGAUGGGCUCGCGGCCUAUCAGCUUGUUGGUGGGGUGAUGGCCUACCACGGCGGUGACGGGUAGCCGGCCUGAGAGGGUUACCGGCAACAGUGGGAGGUAGAUACGGCCCAGAGACCUACGGGAGGCAGCAGUUGGGGAUAGUGCGCAAUGCGGGAAAGCCUGAUGCAGGUACGCCGCGUGGGGGAUCAAGGCGUUCGGGGUGUAAACCUCUGUCGCUAUCGAACGGGUAGGUAGAGAAGAAGCGCCGGCUAACUACGUGCCAGCAGCCGCGGUAAUUC